rnacentral:rRNA from 1 species
UUUGCACACUAUAUUAGGUAAUGCCUGCCCAGUGACCAUAUGUUCAACGGCCGCGGUAUUCUGACCGCGCGAAGGUAGCGUAAUCACUUGUCUUCUAAAUAAAGACUAGUAUGAACGGCCACACGAAGACUUAACUGUCUCCCCUGUCCAAUCAGUGAAACUGAUCUCCUCGUGCAGAAGCGAGGAUAAACACAUAAGACGAGAAGACCCUAUGGAGCUUUAAACUUAAUAUCAACUUCCCUCUUUUACCCCUCUAAGGAGCUGACAAGAUUACUAGACUCGAUAUAAGUUUUAGGUUGGGGCGACCAUGGAGAAAAAAACAACCUCCCUGAUGAUUUUUAAACCAAGAGCCACAGCUCUAAGUAUUAGGACUCUUAACUCCCAUUGACCCAUUUUUUUGAUCAACGAACCA